rnacentral:rRNA from 1 species
ACUCAAAGGAAUUGACGGGGGCUCACACAAGCGGUGGAGCAUGUGGCUCAAUUCGAAGCAACGCGAAGAACCUUAUCCUGGGCUUGACAUGCACGAAUUAGUCCGGUGAAAGUCGGACGAGGCCCGCAAGGGUACAACGUGCACAGGUGCUGCAUGGCUGUCGUCAGCUCGUGCUGUGAAGUGUUGGGUUAAGUCCCUUAACGAGCGAAACCCCUGUCGUUAGUUGCUCACAGGUAAUGCUGAGGACUCUAACGAGACUGCCGGCGUCAAGUCGGAGGAAGGUGGGGAUGACGUCAAGUCCGCAUGGCCUUUAUGCCCAGGGCUGCACACGUGCUACAAUGGCGCGCACAGAACGACGCAAGACCGCAAGGUGGAGCAAAUCGCUCAAAACGCGCCCCAGUUCGGAUUGUGGGCUGCAACCCGCCCACAUGAAGUCGGAAUCGCUAGUAAUCGCGGAUCAGCUACGCCGCGGUGAAUACGUUCCUGAGCCUUGUACACACCGCCCGU